AUUGAACGCUGGCGGCAUGCCUUACACAUACAAGUCGAACGGCAGCACGGGUGCUUGCACCUGGUGGCGAGUGGCGAACGGGUGAGUAAUACAUCGGAACGUACCUUAUUGUGGGGGAUAACGCAGCGAAAGUUGCGCUAAUAACGCAUACGCCCUGAGGGGGAAAGCGGGGGACCGUAAGGCAUUGCGCGAUUAGAGCGGCCGAUGUCUGAUUAGCUUGUUGGUGAGGUACUAGCUCACCAAGGCGAUGAUCAGUAGCUGGUCUGAGAGGACGAUCAGCCACACUGGGACUGAGACACGGCCCAGACUCCUACGGGAGGCAGCAGUGGGGAAUUUUGGACAAUGGGGGCAACCCUGAUCCAGCAAUGCCGCGUGAGUGAAGAAGGCCUUCGGGUUGUAAAGCUCUUUUGUCAGGGAAGAAACAGCAGCUCUAACACAGUCUGCGAAUGACGGUACCUGAAGAAUAAGCACCGGCUAACUACGUGCCAGCAGCCGCAGUAA
rnacentral:rRNA from 1 species